CAGUGCGGUACUCCAUCUG
rnacentral:misc_RNA from 1 species